rnacentral:rRNA from 1 species
CCAUAACACAGGUGCUGCAUGGCUGUCGUCAGCUCGUGUCGUGAGAUGUUGAGUUAAGUCCCGCAACGAGCGCAACCCUUGUCAUUAGUUGCUACAUUUGGUUGGGCACUCUAAUGAGACUGCCGGUGACAAACCGGAGGAAGGUGGGGAUGACGUCAAGUCCUCAUGGCCCUUAUAGGUGGGGCUACACACGUCAUACAAUGGCCGGUACAAAGGGUCGCAAACCCGCGAGGGGGAGCCAAUCCAUCAAAGCCGGUCGUAGUCCGGAUCGCAGUCUGCAACUCGACUGCGUGAAGUCGGAAUCGCUAGUAAUCGUGGAUCAGCAUGUCACGGUGAAUACGUUCCCGGGUCUU